CAGUCUAUUUUUAAAGCCCUUACGGAGGCCAAAUCAUCCAGCGCUGUUCAUAGGGACUUUGAAGAGAAACCUAGUUCCUGGGGCCACGGCCUGGUUCUGCCCUGAUAAUGACUGGGGUUGUUGGUGUGCUGUCCCUCCAGUUCCUCUGCUGAGCUCCAGUGACCAGCCAGGAAGAGGUGAGGGAGGGAGUCUUGAACACCAGCCAAGAGCAGACCAUCACACCCCUUCAGACCAGUGCAGCUCGGGGUGCUACUGUGUGUCACCAGUGGGGUUGGCAGGACCCUGGACAAGGCCGCCCUCCUCGGGUAGGAGCUGACGUGGCAACCCGCACUUGGCACUGGGGACAGGCCAAGAGAGUGGGGAAGACCUCUGUGCACUCCUAGAAGCACUAACAGCCCCGCUCUCAUGCCCCCGACAACGAUCUGCCCAGACCACAGCCAUCUGCCAUUCACACCUUACCUUCUUUUCCCGUUUCCUUCAGUUU
rnacentral:lncRNA from 1 species